rnacentral:rRNA from 1 species
GACGAACGCUGGCGGCGUGCUUAACACAUGCAAGUCGAACGGAAAGGCCCUGCUUUUGUGGGGUGCUCGAGUGGCGAACGGGUGAGUAACACGUGAGUAACCUGCCCUUGACUUUGGGAUAACUUCAGGAAACUAGGGCUAAUACCGGAUAGGAGCUCCUGCUGCAUGGUGGGGGUUGGAAAGUUUCGGCGGUUGGGGAUGGACUCGCGGCUUAUCAGCUUGUUGGUGGGGUAGUGGCUUACCAAGGCUUUGACGGGUAGCCGGCCUGAGAGGGUGACCGGCCACAUUGGGACUGAGAUACGGCCCAGACUCCUACGGGAGGCAGCAGUGGGGAAUAUUGCACAAUGGGCGGAAGCCUGAUGCAGCAACGCCGCGUGCGGGAUGACGGCCUUCGGGUUGUAAACCGCUUUCGCCUGUGACGAAGCGUGAGUGACGGUAAUGGGUAAAGAAGCACCGGCUAACUACGUGCCAGCAGCCGCGGUGAUACGUAGGGUGCGAGCGUUGUCCGGAUUUAUUGGGCGUAAAGGGCUCGUAGGUGGUUGAUCGCGUCGGAAGUGUAAUCUUGGGGCUUAACCCUGAGCGUGCUUUCGAUACGGGUUGACUUGAGGAAGGUAGGGGAGAAAUGGAAUUCCUGGUGGAGCGGUGGAAUGCGCAGAUUUCAGGAGGAACACCAGUGGCGAAGGCGGUUCUUUGGGCCUUUCCUGACGCUGAGGAGCGAAAGCGUGGGGAGCGAACAGGCUUAGAUACCCUGGUAGUCCACGCUGUAAACGGUGGGUACUAGGUGUGGGGUCCAUUCCACGGGUUCCGUGCCGUAGCUAACGCUUUAAGUACCCCGCCUGGGGAGUACGGCCGCAAGGCUAAAACUCAAAGGAAUUGACGGGGCCCCGCACAAGCGGCGGAGCAUGCGGAUUAAUUCGAUGCAACGCGUAGAACCUUACCUGGGUUUGACAUGGAUCGGGAGUGCUCAGAGAUGGGUGUGCCUCUUUUGGGGUCGGUUCACAGGUGGUGCAUGGCUGUCGUCAGCUCGUGUCGUGAGAUGUUGGGUUAAGUCCCGCAACGAGCGCAACCCUUGUUCACUGUUGCCAGCACGUUAUGGUGGGGACUCAGUGGAGACCGCCGGGGUCAACUCGGAGGAAGGUGGGGAUGACGUCAAGUCAUCAUGCCCCUUAUGUCCAGGGCUUCACGCAUGCUACAAUGGCUGGUACAGAGAGUGGCGAGCCUGUGAGGGUGAGCGAAUCUCGGAAAGCCGGUCUCAGUUCGGAUUGGGGUCUGCAACUCGACCUCAUGAAGUCGGAGUCGCUAGUAAUCGCAGAUCAGCAACGCUGCGGUGAAUACGUUCCCGGG